AACGAACGCUGGCGGCAAGCUUAACACAUGCAAGUCGAGCGCCCCGCAAGGGGAGCGGCAGACGGGUGAGUAACACGUGGGAACCUUCCUAGAGGUACGGAACAACUCAGGGAAACUUGAGCUAAUACCGUAUACGCUCUUGCGAGGAAAGAUUUAUCGCCUUUAGACGGGCUCACGUCGGAUUAGCUAGUUGGUGGGGUAACGGCCUACCAAGGCGACGAUCCGUAGCUGAUCUGAGAGGAUGAUCAGCCACACUGGGACUGAGACACGGCCCAGACUCCUACGGGAGGCAGCAGUGGGGAAUCUUGGACAAUGGGCGCAAGCCUGAUCCAGCCAUGCCGCGUGAGUGAAGAAGGCCUUCGGGUUGUAAAGCUCUUUUGCCAGGGACGAUAAUGACGGUACCUGGAGAAUAAGCCCCGGCAAACUUCGUGCCAGCCGCCGCCGUAA
rnacentral:rRNA from 1 species